rnacentral:rRNA from 1 species
UACGUAGGGAGCAAGCGUUGUCCGGAAUCAUUGGGCGUAAAGCGCGCGUAGGUGGCUUCGUAAGUCCGUUGUGAAAGUCAAAGGCUCAACCUUUGAAUGCCGAUGGAUACUGCGGAGCUAGAGUACGGAAGAGGCGAGUGGAAUUCCUGGUGUAGCGGUGGAAUGCGCAGAUAUCAGGAGGAACACCAAUAGCGAAGGCAGCUCGCUGGGACGUUACUGACGCUGAGGAGCGAAAGCGUG